rnacentral:rRNA from 1 species
AUGCUUCCUUAUGAGAUCUUUGCUGCUACUGUCCAUUGUGUUAUACCAUCAAUUAAGCUAGACUUGAAAAAUUAUUUGCUUGGACAUGAUCAUACAUACAUUGUUGGUGGCAUUGCUCUCAUUCCUGAUGAUGACACUUAUUUUCCUUAUGCUAGUCCUAUGCUUAAUGAAACAUAUUAUUCCCAUGCUAGUCUUGAGCUUAAUGAUAAAUUUCAUCCUCAUGUUAGUGUCGACCUUACUGAUUUGUACCAUCCUAAACAUGUGCUUUAUAGCUAUGCUUAUGUAAUUGGAUAUUCGAUUGAUGACUUGGAGGGUAUUAUCCCUACCACUUGCAUUGUCUCUUUCAUUGAGUGCUCUUUCAGGUUCUUGCUUGUGCACGAUCCACUACAUGCUGACCAAGUUCAAGAUGACAUUCCCUGGGACCCCGGUGGACCUAUGGCAUGGGGAUGA